rnacentral:rRNA from 1 species
GACGAACUCUGGCGGCGUGCUUACCACAUGCAAGUCGAACGGAAAGGCCCUGCUUGCAGCGUAUUCGCGAGUCGACCGGGUGAGUAACACGUGCGUUUUCUCCCCCUCACUUCGGGAUACGCCUCGGCAACUGGGUCUAAUCCCGGAUAGGCGCCCUUCUUCGCAUGAUGGCUUGCCAGUUUUUUCGGUGUAGGCUGAGCUCGCGGCCUCUCAGCUUGUUGGGGGGGCAAUGGACUACCAAGGCGGCUACGGGUAGCCGGCCUGAGAGGUUGGACGGCCACAGUGGGACUGAGAUACGGCCCAGACUCCUACGGGAGGCAGCAGUGGUGAAUAUUGCACAAUGGGCGCAAGCCUGAUGCAGCGACGCCGCGGGGGGGAUGACGGCCUUCGGGUUGGAAACUCCUUUCGCUAGGGACGAAGCUUUUUGUGACGGUACCUAGAUAAGAAGCACCGGCUAACUACGUG